rnacentral:lncRNA from 1 species
CUUCGCCCUCACUUUGUCCCUCGUUCCUCUGGCCUUUGAACAGACUGUUUCCUCUGCCUGCGUAUUAACUUGUUUAUUUGUUUAUUAUCUGUUGAUCUGUAUGCUCCAUGAGGGCAGGGCCUGGGUCUGACUUGUAUCACAGCACCUAAGUCUAUGUCUGGCAUCUAAAAGAGCCCUCAGCCAGGGGCGGUGGCUCACGCCUGUAAUCCCAGCACUUUGGGAGGCCUAGGUGGGCGGAUCACGAGGUCAGGAGAUCGAGACCUUCCUGGCUAACAAGGUGAAAUCCUGUCUCUACUAAAAAUACAAAAAAUUAGCUGGAAAUGGUGGCAGGCGCCUAUAGUUCCAGCUACUCAAGAGGCUGAGGCAAGAGAAUGGCAUGAACCCAGGAGGCAGAGCUUGCAGUGGGCGGAGAUCCUGUCACUGCAAUCCAGCCUGGGUGACAGAGCAAGACUCCGUUUCAAAAAAAAAAAGAAAAGAUCCCCUGCCCCGGCCCUUCCCUCCCCCACCCACCUCGGCUUCCGAAAGUGGUAGGAUUACAGGCGUCAGUCACCACACCCGGCCUGCUUUAUUAUUUAUAUCAGAAGAUGCUGCAACAUUGGAUUUUUAUGGCAGCAGUUCGUUGAGUAGUGGCUGUCCUGGACAUAGGAACAGGGACACUCCCUCUUGCAUCCCUGACUCAGCACGUUUCAUAUGUGUUACUUGCCUGUCCCCUGCAGAAAAGUACUUGAGGUUACAGUCUCCAUCCCACCCCACUGUGGGUGAGAAGGACCUUUCCAUGCAGUGAAGGCACUUUUCCCCUUUCCUUCACCCCUUCCUGUUCCCUUCUCUGCCGUUUUCCUUCUUCUCCCCCAGAACUCCUCUGUGAAAUACCUGGCCUCCUUCCCUGAGCCUCCCUGUCUCCCUGCCACCCCAUCUCCACUCCGUGCUAUGACAUCACCCCGUAAUUUGAAGCUCCUUUCCCUAUCUGAAGGGAGGCAGAGACAGAGUGCACAGGCUCAACUAGGCAAGGCAGACCCUUGCAUGCCUGGGUCAGAGGUCAGGGUCUCUGGCACACAUUCCUCCCAGAGCAACUGUAGGAAGCAAGCCAGUACAGAGGUACUCUAAGCGCUAGACAGGACGGGGUGGGAGUCGGUAACAUCGUCUCCUCUGGGCUGGCCCUGCUUCUGCUUAGCUCUGGGCAUAAGACUGACUCCAGUACAGUCACAGUUAUGUCUCUGAGCUCACCCAGUCCUGGGUUCCAGGUUCCCAGCUCUGAGCCUGGCGAGACACACACAGGCUGGUGCUGUGGGAUGUCUUGGUACGGUGAUCUGCUUGCCUUGACCUCCCAAAGUUCAGGGAUUACAGGCGUGAGGCACCAUGCCCAGCCAGUCCCUGUCUUCAAAUACAGUCACACUGGGGGUUAAACAAUGUAUAAAUUUGGGGGCGAUACAAACAUUCAGUCCAUAACACCCCCUAUACCCCAACCCUAGGCAACCACUAAUCUACAUCUUAUCUCUACAGAUGACCUAUUCUGGACAUGUCAUAUAAAUGGAAUCAUACAA